rnacentral:rRNA from 1 species
UACAGAGGUCCCAAGCGUUGUUCGGAUUCAUUGGGCGUAAAGGGUGCGUAGGCGGCGCGGUAAGUCGGAUGUGAAAUCUCGGAGCUUAACUUCGAAACUGCCUUUGAUACUGGCGGUCUCGAGUCCGGGAGAGGUGAGUGGAACUGCGAGUGUAGAGGUGAAAUUCGUAGAUAUUCGCAAGAACACCAGUGGCGAAGGCGGCUCACUGGCCCGGUACUGACGCUGAGGUGCGAAAGCGUGGGGAGCAAACAGG